GGUGUAAAAUGAGCGUGCGUCCUAUUAGCUAGUUGGUGAGGCAAUGGCUCACCAAGGCUACGAUGGGUAGGGGUUCUUAGUGGAAGAUCCCCCACACUGGCACUGAGAUACGGGCCAGACUCCUACGGGAGGCAGCAGUAGGGAAUAUUGGUCAAUGGGCGAAAGCCUGAACCAGCCAUGCCGCGUGCAGGAUGACAGCUCUCUGAGUUGUAAACUGCUUUUGUACAGGAGCAAAACAAUCCCUGCGGGGGUUCUUGAGAGUACUGUAAGAAUAAGCACCGGCUAAUUCCGUGCCAGCAGCCGCGGUAAUACGGAAGGUGCAAGCGUUAUCCGGUUUUAUUGGGUUUAAAGGGUGCGUAGGCGGCUUAUUAAGUCAGUUGUGAAAUCCUAGUGCUUAACGCUAGAACUGCAAUUGAUACUAUUAGGCUUGAGUUA
rnacentral:rRNA from 1 species